UACGAAGGGGGCAAGCGUUGUUCGGAAUUACUGGGCGUAAAGGGCGCGUAGGCGGCCCUCUAAGUCGAACGUGAAAUCCCCGGGCUCAACCCGGGAACUGCGUCCGAUACUGGAGGGCUCGAAUCCGGGAGAGGGAUGUGGAAUUCCAGGUGUAGCGGUGAAAUGCGUAGAUAUCUGGAGGAACACCGGUGGCGAAGGCGGCAUCCUGGACCGGU
rnacentral:rRNA from 1 species